rnacentral:tRNA from 1 species
GCGCCGGUGGCGUAAAGGCGUUGAGCAUUCUCAUCCGGUCAGCAGGAGGUGCGGGUUCGAGUCCCGCCUGGCGCA